rnacentral:rRNA from 1 species
GGAGUAAUUYUAAACGGCCGSGGAAUUUUAACCGUGCUAAGGUAGCAUAAUCAUUUGUCUUUUAAUUAAAGACUUGUAUGAANGGUUUAAUGAAAUAAAGCUAUCUCUAAAAUAUUAAAUAAAAAUUAUUUUUAAAGUGAAAAAUCUUUAAUAAAAUAAAAAGACAAAAAGACCCUAUAGAGUUUAAUUUAUCUGUAUAGACACAUAUAUAUAUAAAUUUAGUUGGGGCAACUAAUGAAAAAAAAAAUUUCUUUUAAAAAAAAAAAAUAAAAUCAUUAAUUUAAUACUAUAAAACAAAUUACCUUAGGGGUAACAGCGUAAUUUUUUUUAAGAGCUCAAAUCGAAAAAAAAAAUUAC